GGCGGUUCUCGGGUGACGCACCCCAGAAUUGAGCUCUCUCCUCUCUGGUUCCGGGUAUGUCACCCAAGAACUGCA
rfam:Myotis lucifugus cont2.9990, whole genome shotgun sequence.